CAGUAUAUGCACCUUUAACUAUGAUCUGCAACCCGCUAUGAACAAGGAGAUGAAAUGCAAGUGAUUUACAGUCAGUUUGACAAGUUAUUACUCUGGUGCGAAGCGUCGUGAGGUGUAGUUAGAAAGGUGGAUUGAGGACAAAGCAAUAAUGCAACGUGACCUUUGCCCAAAUCCUGUUGUGCACAUAGACUAUACACUCUGAUCCUCGUUUCCCAGAUGCCCUUUCAGAAGCAGAAACAUUUGACCAUGAUUUCUGGGACUUUAUUUGUGCUUGUACUGCUGUGUGGAGUAGAAGCUGGCAAGGUUUUGGUGUUGCCAGGCGAGUACAGUCACUUGCACAACAUGCGUGCGAUCAUUGACGCGCUGGUCGAUCGUAACCACAGUGUGACUGUUCUGGUCAGUUCUUCAUCACCUACUGUACCGCACACACGGAAGGAGCGGUUCGAUUUUAUCGUGUAUAAAGUCAACAUAGAGAAAGAACAGGCUGAUUCUGUGUUGAGAGAUAUGAUUCAUCUCGGGACAAAUGACACAGCCACCAAAUACAAGGGAGACUUCCUGGUCUGGAGAGUUUUUUCCAACUUUAUGGCGUUCCUUACGGAUAUAUCCAAGGGCAUGUUUCAUGAGGAUCUUUUACACACGCUUCGGGAAUCUCAUUAUGAUGUGCUUUUAUCUGAUCCGAUGAUGCUAUUCCCUGACUUGAUGGCACAGAAGCUGAAUAUCCCACACGUCCUGUCGAUGCGCGGAACGUUCGCGUACAUCGCCGAGCGGCUUUGUGGUCAGAUGCCUGCGCCGCCAUCCUACGUUCCUGCGGUCGCUUUGCAAGAUCACCUCACCGAUCAUAUGAGCUUCACAGAGAGAGUUGAAAACAUGCUCCUCUAUGUCAUACAUACGAUUAUAUUUCCAUUGAGCAUGAAGUUUACUAUAGAUAAACUCUACACUGAAAUAUUGGGCACACCCACAACAAUGUGUGAGACCGCUGGAAAAGCCGACAUCUGGUUGAUUAGAACUUACUGGGAUUUCGAGUAUCCACGUCCACUACUGCCGAAUUUUAAAUUUGUUGGAGGACUACACUGCAAACCAGCCAAGCCUCUGUCAAAAGACCUGGAGGAGUUUGUUCAGAGCUCAGGAGAUCAUGGCAUCGUUGUCUUCUCACUGGGUUCCAUGUUGGGCAACCUGACAUUGGAAAGAGCAAACACUAUCGCUUCUGCUCUUGGUAAAAUCCCACAAAAGGUUGUUUGGCGUUAUAAUGGGAAAACACCAGAAACUCUCGCCCCCAACACAAAACUCUAUGACUGGAUCCCACAGAAUGAUUUGCUUGGUCAUCCAAAAACAAAGGCCUUCAUAACCCACGGUGGGACAAAUGGACUGUAUGAGGCUAUUUAUCAUGGUGUCCCAAUGGUGGGCUUGCCACUGUGGGGUGACCAGCCCGAUAACCUAAUGCACAUGAAAACCAAAGGAGCUGCUGUUGUUCUUGAUAUCGACUCAAUGCAGUCCAAAGACCUGGUAGAUGCUCUCAAGACUGUCAUAAAUAAUCCAUCGAUCUGUAACUCGGAGAUCCGGCAGUGCGAGUGGUCCGCAGUGUGCUGGCCAGCUCGGAGAUCUGUGUGCGCCAGAGCUUUUCGUUAUUGUUUAUGUUAUUUUGUGUUUUGUGGUGAGAAUAAAGAUUCUCCUUUUCUAACUCUGCAUCUGAGUCCUCUGUCCAGUACACACCCCGUGACAGGGAGAGGGACUCCAAAGGUUGUGACUUCCAGUCUCGGUCCGGCAGGGAUUGUAUGUUUCUGAAUAAACUGUUAGAAAGAGACUCCAUGUAUUGAGACAUGCUCACAACACAGCACUGUGCAUCUCGAUUGGCAUUUGCCAGAGAACACCAGAAUUGGCAGGUCCACCGUUGGAGCCACAUUCACUUCACGGAUGAGAGGAGGUUCAUACUGAGCACAUAUGAGAGCAAUGUCCCUGGAGGGUCACAAGACCUCCAUGUGCUAGCUUACAUUAACCUCACUGCUGUUAGGUACUGGGAUGAAACUCACAGAGCCAUUGUCAGAUAACAUUAGUGCAGUGGGCAAUGAAUUCCUCCAGUAGGCAGUUUCUGGAUGUCAAAGUCAAUGAUGCUGUUGACGUCCUCAUGUUCCUACUAAACUGACAUUUAGAA